rnacentral:tRNA from 1 species
GCGGGUGUAGCUCAACGGUAGAGCCCCAGCCUUCCAAGCUGGUUGUUGAGGGUUCGAAUCCCUUCGCCCGCUCCA